AUUGAACGCUGGCGGCAUGCUUUACACAUGCAAGUCGAACGGCAGCGCGGGCUUCGGCCUGGCGGCGAGUGGCGAACGGGUGAGUAAUACAUCGGAACGUGCCCAGUAGUGGGGGAUAGCUCGGCGAAAGCCGGAUUAAUACCGCAUACGACCUGAGGGUGAAAGCGGGGGAUCUUCGGACCUCGCGCUCUUGGAGCGGCCGAUGGCAGAUUAGCUAGUUGGUGGGGUAAAGGCCUACCAAGGCGACGAUCUGUAGCUGGUCUGAGAGGACGACCAGCCACACUGGAACUGAGACACGGCCCAGACUCCUACGGGAGGCAGCAGUGGGGAAUGUUGGACAAUGGGCGAAAGCCUGAUCCAGCAAUGCCGCGUGUGUGAUGAAGGCCUUCGGGUUGUAAAGCACUUUUGGCGGGAAAGAAAAGGACUGUGCCAAUACCACGGUUCGAUGACGGUACCCGCAGAAUAAGCACCGGCUAACUACGUG
rnacentral:rRNA from 1 species